GAGGGAAGAGCUCAUCAUUGGAAUCUGACAGCGUUGCGCUGUUCGAGUUGUAGAUGAGAAGAGUAGGCCAUCUGGACUGCGUGGCGUCCAAGUACAAUAGGCCGUCAGUGGGACAUCAUAGAGGGUGACAAUCCCGUCCUUGAUGCCAACGUACGAGUCCUUUUACGAUGCCUAUCUCGGAGAGUCAAGCAGUUUGGGAUUUGCUGCUUAAACAUGGGAGGUAGAUUCCUUCCAAAGCUAAAUACAGGCAAGAGACCGAUAGAGAACAAGUACCGCAAGGGAAAGAUGAAAUAGAACUCAGUGAAGGGAGUCAAAAGGCGUGAAAUUGUUGCGAGAGAAGCGAUUCAAGUCAGCGUAGCUGGGCCCAUUGAAGCCUUUGCGCUCUGGACCAGCUUUGCCAGCGGUCUUGUCCUGUGGAUUUCCUGUGGACUUGACUAAAGUGUCCAGCCCGGUCUAACGGGUAGGCCUGCCUGCCAAGGUAGGUUAGCGGCAUGCUGGUGGAAUGGCUUGCAAUCGACCCGUCUUGAAACACGGACCAAGGAGUCUAACAUGCAUGCGAGUAUAAGGGUGGCAAACCCGUAUGCGCAAAGAAAGUGACAGCGUGUAGCUGUGAAUGACCUGAUGACCAGACAAGCAAUAUUAUGUUCCUCGUACGGUCAUUGCCCAAGUCCCAUGGUCAGAUCCCAUGGACAUGGAGUUGGAGCAUGCAUGCUAGGACCCGAAAGAUGGUGAACUAUGCCUGGACAAAGCGAAGCCAAAGGAAACUCUGGUGGAGGCUUGUAGCGAUUCUGACGUGCAAAUCGAUCGUCUGAUCUGGGUAUAGGGGCGAAAGACUAAUCG
rnacentral:rRNA from 1 species